rnacentral:rRNA from 1 species
UACAGAGGGUGCAAGCGUUAAUCGGAAUUACUGGGCGUAAAGCGCGCGUAGGUGGUUUGUUAAGUUGGAUGUGAAAUCCCCGGGCUCAACCUGGGAACUGCAUUCAAAACUGACAAGCUAGAGUAUGGUAGAGGGUGGUGGAAUUUCCUGUGUAGCGGUGAAAUGCGUAGAUAUAGGAAGGAACACCAGUGGCGAAGGCGACAACCUGGACUGAUACUGACACUGAGGUGCGAAAGCGUGGGGAGCAAACAGG